rnacentral:tRNA from 2 species
CCCCUCAUAGUUCAACGGAUAGAAUACGAGCUUGCGGAGCUCGGGAUGUAGGUUCGAUUCCUACUGAGGGGA